rnacentral:rRNA from 1 species
CCUACGGGUGGCAGCAGUGGGGAAUAUUGGGCAAUGGGCGCAAGCCUGACCCAGCAACGCCGCGUGAAGGAAGAAGGCUUCCGGGUUGUAAACUUCUUUUAAGAGGGAAGAGCAGAAGACGGUACCACUUGAAUAAGCCACGGCUAACUACGUGCCAGCAGCAGCGGUAAUAUGUAGGUGGCAAGCGUCGUCCGGAUUUACUGGGCGUAAAGGGCGUGCAGCCGGGAAGACAAGUCAGAUGUGAAAUCCCGCGGUUGAACCGCGGAACUGCAUUUGAAACUGUUUUUCUUGAGUACCGGAGAGGUCAUCGGAAUUCCUGGGGGAGCGGUGAAAUGCGUAGAUAUAAGGAGGAACACCAGUGGCGAAGGCGGAUGACUGGACGGCAACUGACGGUGAGGCGCGAAAGCGUGGGGAGCAAACAGGAUUAGAUACCCCGGUAGUC